AUUGAACGCUGGCGGCAGGCCUAACACAUGCAAGUCGAACGAGUGGCGGAAGGGUGAGUAAUGUCUGGGAAACUGCCCGAUGGAGGGGGAUAACUACUGGAAACGGUAGCCAAUACCGCAUACCAUCGGAUGUGCCCAGAUGGGAUUAGCUAGUAGGUGGGGUAACGGCCCACCUAGGCGACGAUCCCUAGCUGGUCUGAGAGGACGACCAGCCACACUGGGACUGAGACACGGUCCAGACUCCUACGGGAGGCAGCAGUGGGGAAUAUUGCACAAUGGGCGCAAGCCUGAUGCAGCCAUGCCGCGUGUUUGAAGAAGGCCUUCGGGUUGUAAAGUACUUUCAGCGAGGAGGCGUUACUCGCAGAAGAAGCACCGGCUAACUCCGUGCCAGCAGCCGCGGUAAUAC
rnacentral:rRNA from 1 species